rfam:Oryctolagus cuniculus unplaced genomic scaffold chrTn0352, whole genome shotgun sequence.
UGCAGAUGGCCCCGGCACUGCGGCUGUGCGGUUCCCUUCGCUGAAAACCACCUCGUAUUCUGUGCGCGCUGACAGGCAUCUGUCAGAGGGUCCUGUCGCCUGCUCUGUGG